GUCUAUCUUCUUAAGAUCUAGUGCUCUAUGCAGGUUUUCCUUGCCAUAUGCACGAGCUUAACCUAUCUAUUAUUCUAUUUAUAGAAUCGCAGUAUAAACAACAUAUAUAACUGCCCUUGGACUAUUCUACAGCAUUGUCUUUGGUUAUAAUACUACUGGGAUAUUAUAUCCCCCUAGGACAUCAGCAUAUUUUACUAGAUACUUCAUGUCAUUAACCAUCUAAGAGCUUACCGUGAAUCCAGUGUGAACUCUGCUGGACUCUACUAGCAGUAUUGAGCUUAUAUCCAAACUUCACUACUAUUGAGGAGAGAAAUAGAUACAACGUAUUCUUACCUGUAUCUCUUCCUCCUUAACUGUGGUGAACCCCCUCUUUACAUCUCAUUGUCCGCACCUGCUAAAAUCAAGUGGAUCUGGCCUCCGCUGAUUGAAAGUGCAGCAUCCAAUAUCUCCUGUCCGCAUCAGGUUCGCCUUCGCUAUUUUUCUUGGCAGCUCCUCUUGGUUCUGCCAGGUUCUUUGAGCUCUUUAAACAUAAUUGGUAAGCGCACUAUAUUCUCUUAUUCUUAUUUUAUUAAUUGUAUAUGUGUUGAACACUUAUUUACAAAGUUUAAAGAUACUACAUUGACCC